UGGACUAAGGGGACCGGCCUUACACAUGCAAGUCGAGCGGUAGCACAGGGGAGCUUGCUCCCUGGGUGACGAGCGGCGGACGGGUGAGUAAUGUCUGGGAAACUGCCUGAUGGAGGGGGAUAACUACUGGAAACGGUAGCUAAUACCGCAUAACGUCGCAAGACCAAAGAGGGGGACCUUCGGGCCUCUUGCCAUCAGAUGUGCCCAGAUGGGAUUAGCUAGUAGGUGGGGUAAUGGCUCACCUAGGCGACGAUCCCUAGCUGGUCUGAGAGGAUGACCAGCCACACUGGAACUGAGACACGGUCCAGACUCCUACGGGAGGCAGCAGUGGGGAAUAUUGCACAAUGGGCGCAAGCCUGAUGCAGCCAUGCCGCGUGUGUGAAGAAGGCCUUCGGGUUGUAAAGCACUUUCAGCGAGGAGGAAGGUGGUGAGCUUAAUACGCUCAUCAAUUGACGUUACUCGCAGAAGAAGCACCGGCUAACUCCGUGCCAGCAGCCGCGGUAAUACGGAGGGUGCAAGCGUUAAUCGGAAUUACUGGGCGUAAAGCGCACGCAGGCGGUUUGUUAAGUCAGAUGUGAAAUCCCCGGGCUCAACCUGGGAACUGCAUUUGAAACUGGCAAGCUAGAGUCUCGUAGAGGGGGGUAGAAUUCCAGGUGUAGCGGUGAAAUGCGUAGAGAUCUGGAGGAAUACCGGUGGCGAAGGCGGCCCCCUGGACGAAGACUGACGCUCAGGUGCGAAAGCGUGGGGAGCAAACAGGAUUAGAUACCCUGGUAGUCCACGCUGUAAACGAUGUCGAUUUGGAGGUUGUGCCCUUGAGGCGUGGCUUCCGGAGCUAACGCGUUAAAUCGACCGCCUGGGGAGUACGGCCGCAAGGUUAAAACUCAAAUGAAUUGACGGGGGCCCGCACAAGCGGUGGAGCAUGUGGUUUAAUUCGAUGCAACGCGAAGAACCUUACCUACUCUUGACAUCCAGAGAACUUUCCAGAGAUGCAUUGGUGCCUUCGGGAACUCUGAGACAGGUGCUGCAUGGCUGUCGUCAGCUCGUGUUGUGAAAUGUGGGGUUAAGUCCCGCAACGAGCGCAACCCUUAUCCUUUGUGCAGCGGACGGCCGGGACUCAAGGAGACUGCAGUGAUAACUGAGAGGUGGGAUGACGUCAGUCAUCAUGCCCUACGAGUAGGCCUACCCACGUGCUAACAAUGCCGUAAUACAAAGGAGAAAA
rnacentral:rRNA from 1 species